rnacentral:rRNA from 1 species
UACAGAGGUCUCAAGCGUUGUUCGGAUUCAUUGGGCGUAAAGGGUGUGUAGGUGGCGCGCUAAGUCGGGUGUGAAAUUUCGGAGCUUAACUCCGAAACUGCAUUCGAUACUGGCGUGCUUGAGGACUGGAGAGGAGACUGGAAUUCAUGGUGUAGCAGUGAAAUGCGUAGAGAUCAUGAGGAAGACCAGUGGCGAAGGCGGCUACCUGGACCGGUUCUGACGCUGAUGCGCGAAAGCGUGGGUAGCAAACAGG